CAUUUUUGAACGGCCUUGUUUUAAUGGCAAUGGCGCGCAAUGGCCCUAGCUAGUGCCCCAAAAUUUGUCCUUGGAAAUAGCAGACGAACAGCCCAAAACAGUCCUAGCAGACGACAGUUCUGGGACCUUCAAUGUUAGACCAUGGUGCGGGUGGGAAUUCUGGAAUCGGCUUCGAGUGGUGCAUAUUUUCUAGUGAUGGUGUAGGAUGUAGUCCGAUCUGUUGUGUGACAGUGAAGUUAUUCUCCACCAAGAUUGAAAACGAGGAAUUCGAAUUACCACGGUAUCCGUGAAUCGUGGCAAGGAGUCUAUUGUAACGUUACGUAACUGCGAGUGUUGGUAAACUGAAGGAGCAUGGCGCUGAGGCUCGUGAACUGGCGGCUAAGGCCAAGUACUACGAUAUGGCAGCUGCUGUUCAGUCGAUGUUGACAAUAGCUUAGGACAUAUAGAUGUGAUUGAUUUCAACGGUGUAAGUGCGCAGUGAAAGCCUGGUCUCAUAAUAUACAUUCCAUGAGUUCAAGGCUUACGUGUUCGAAUUAGAAGUAUGGGUUAAAAAUAUUACCAAGAAAAUGGACGUACGCAGAUGUUUAGGUUGCUAUGCAUGCAUACUAAGAGGUCAAAGCCGAAAUUGACGGCUGCCAGAUCCAAUUUUGUACCCUCAAAAAUUAUGGCCGGCGCGUGGUUCAAUAACAAGAUACUCUGAAGGACGAUCGGUAGAUGUUCAUACGAGCCGGAAGAACUGAGAAGGACCUUGGCUGCUACCUGGGAGGAGAUUUAAGCUCUGUUGAGUUAAUGCGCAAUGACAAGAAUUCUGCCAUUUUAAAUUCGACAGAAUGUGCCACGAAAAAAGUGUGAAAGAAAGACUGUUUUGAAAGAAUCAUUGUUGCUGAAGGCCCUUUUAUCUGUGGAUUCAGAUUCGUGAUUGAUUGUGAUCUUCGAGUUUGGUCGCUGUCACUGAUGUCAUCGCUGUCGUCGUGUUUUCUUUUCUGCUUCCAUUCUUUAAGGACUUGGGAAUCGACCGUAUUGUUUUCUACUUUCAAAACCUUUUCUUUUUACCUUGAAGACGGAAGCUUUGGAGGUGUUGAUGGAUGUUUGUUGUAAAUUCACGUUCUUCGUAGCGUCGUGGAUGGAAAGCUUGCAGUACAUUUUUUUUCAGCUGCAGGUUUCAUAGAGUGAUCGAAGAUGUCAACUUCCAUCUUUUGUAGCUCUCAUUUUUAAAUUGUGUAAUUGGUCCGGCUUUUUGAAUUACACCUUCCACAUCUAGUGCCGUGGCUCAUUUGGUAAAUGUAAUUGAGUUGAGUCUUCGGGUGAUGACCAUUUGGGAAUUGAGUAUCUUGUUCAAGAUGGAUUACCUUGAUUUUUGCAAUUUGUAAUUAGAGUAUUAUUGAAAAUUUUAAUGUAACCUCUGUUUUGUUGCAAAUUAUCAUCUCAUAUUUGAACGGGUAGAUGCUGUUGGGUUUUGUAGCAGCGACGAUUUCGGCAAACUGCAUGUUAUAUAUUUCCCCUUCUUGAAUCAGUAGAUAAAAUUUUUCAGCGUCCUCGCCGGAGGCUUUGACUUUGAUUGUUCCGGACUCGUCUUCAAGUCGAAAGAAGAACAUCUUUUGGUCUUCCUUGAUCGGAAUUAGUCUUGAAAUUCACGAUGUCAUUUCUUUAAUUUUCCCCCCUAGGUUUGUAAAGGUAGGGGAGACUGGAGUAUGCCGGGACACCGGGUCAAGAGGGAC
rnacentral:lncRNA from 1 species